rnacentral:rRNA from 1 species
UACGUAGGGUGCGAGCGUUAAUCGGAAUUACUGGGCGUAAAGGGCGCGCAGGCUGUUCUGUAAGUCAGAGGUGAAAUCCCCGAGCUCAACUUGGGAACUGCGUUUGAAACUACAGGACUAGAAUAUGGCAGAGGGGGGUAGAAUUCCACGUGUAGCAGUGAAAUGCGUAGAGAUGUGGAGGAAUACCAGUGGCGAAGGCAGCCCCCUGGGAUAAUAUUGACGCUCAUGCACGAAAGCGUGGGGAGCAAACAGG